GGGCCUGUAGCUCCAAUUGGCAGAGCCGCUGCUUUGCAAGCAGAUGGAUGUGAGUUCGAGUCUCACCAGGUCCACCA
rnacentral:tRNA from 1 species